UACAGAGGGGGCAAGCGUUGUUCGGAAUUACUGGGCGUAAAGGGCGCGUAGGCGGCCUUCUAAGUCGAACGUGAAAUCCCCGGGCUCAACCCGGGAACUGCGUCCGAUACUGGAAGGCUUGAAUCCGGGAGAGGGAUGCGGAAUUCCAGGUGUAGCGGUGAAAUGCGUAGAUAUCUGGAGGAACACCGGUGGCGAAGGCGGCAUCCUGGACCGGCAUUGACGCUGAGGCGCGAAAGCCAGGGGGAGCAAAC
rnacentral:rRNA from 1 species